rnacentral:tRNA from 1 species
GGGAAUUAGUUUAAUAAAAUAAUUGAUUUCGACUCAAUAGAUUCUGAACACACACAGAAUUCCUUGC